rnacentral:lncRNA from 1 species
UGUUUUUUUUUAAUGGGAAAAAUGGGAUUGGGAACUGGGGACUGGGAUUGGGAUAAUGGGGAAAAGGGCUGGGAGAACUGGGAAUGGGAUUGGGAAUGGGAAUGGGAACUGGGAAUGGGAUUGGGACAAUUGGGAAAGGGAUUGGGAUACUGGGAAUGGGGCCGGGAUAUUGGGAAUGGGAACUGGGAAUGGGAACCAGGAAUGGGAUCGGGAACUGGGAAUGGGAUUGGGAUAAACUGGAAUGGGUUUGGGAACUGGGAUUGGGAACUGGGAUUGGGAUUGGGACAAUUGGGAAAGGGAUUGGGAUACUGGGAAUGGGGCCGGGAUAUUGUGAAUGGGGUUGGGAUAUUGGGAAUGGGGUUGGGAUAUUGGGAAUGGGAACUGGGAAUGGGAACCAGGAGUGGGGCUGGGAACUGGGAAUGGGAUUGGGAUAAACUGGAAUGGGUUUGGGAACUGGGAAUGGGAACUGGGAAUGGGAUUGGGACAAUUGGCAAUGGGAUUGGGAUACUGGGAAUGGGGCCGGGAUAUUGGGAAUGGGGCCGGGAUAUUGGGAAUGGGGUUGGGAUAUUGGGAUUGGGAACUGGGAAUGGGAACCAGGAAUGGGGCUGGGAACUGGGAAUGAGAUUGGGAUAAUCGGGAAUGGGAUUAGGAAAUGGGGAAUUGUGUUGGGAACUGGGAAUGGGAUUGGGAAAUGGGAUUGAGAUAUCGGGAAUGGGGUUGGGAUAAUUGGGAAUGGGAACUGGGAAUGGGAACCAGGAGUGGGGCUGUGAUACUGGGAAUGGGAUUGGGAACCAGGAAUUGGGGUUGGGAUAACGGGGAAUGGGGUUGGGAACUGGGAAUGAGCCUUGGGGAAAUGGGAAUGGGGUUGGGGACCAGGAAUGGAAUUGGGAUGUCAGGAAUGAGAACCGGGAAUGGGAACUGGGAAUGGGAACUGGGAUUGGGAACUGGGAAUGGGAACUGGGAAUGGGAUUGGGAUAAACUGGGAUGGGGUUGGGAACUGGGAAUGGGAAUGUUCUUGGGAACUGGGAACUGGGAACGGAUAACUGGGAAUGAGAACCAGGAAUGGGAUUGGGAUAAUCGGGAAUGGGAUUGGAGGCCUGGAGUGGGAUUGGGAACCGGGAAUGGGGCCGGGAUAAUCGGGAAUGGGAUUGGGAAUGGGGAAUGGGAUUGGGAACUGGGAAUGGGAUUGGGAACCAGGAAUUGGGGCUGGGAUCAUUGGGAAUGGGUUUGGGAUAAACUGGAAUGGGAACUGGGAAUGGGAACUGGGAUUGGGAAUUGGGAUUGGGAUUGGGAUAAACUGGAAUGGGGUUGGGAACUGGGAAUGGAAAUGUUUUUGGGAACUGGGAACGGAUAACUGGGAAUGAGAACCAGGAAUGGGAUUGGGAUAAUCAGGAAUGGGAUUGGAGGCCAGGAGUAGGAUUGGGAACCGGGAAUGGGGCCGGGAUAAUCGGGAAUGGGAUUGGGAACUGGGAAUGAGAUUGGGAACCAGGAAUUGGGGCUGGGAUAAUUGGGAAUGGGAUUGGGAUAAACUGGAAUGGGAACUGGGAAUGGGAAUUGGGAUUGGGAUAAACUGGAAUGGGGUUGGGAACUGGGAAUGGGAUUGGAAUAGGAAUAAUUGGGAAUAGGAUUGAGAUGUGGGGAAUGGGAUUGGGAUAAACUGGAAUGGGGUUGGGAAUUGGGAUUGGGAUAAACUGGAAUGGGGUUGGGAACUGGGAAUGGGAAUGUUUUUGGGAACUGGGAACUGGGAACGGAUAACUGGGAAUGAGAACCAGGAAUGGGAUUGGGAUAAUCGGGAAUGGGGCCAGGAGUGGGAUUGGGAACUGGGAAUGGGGCCGGGAUAAUCGGGAAUGGGAUUGGGAACCAGGAAUUGGGGCUGGGAUCAUUGGGAAUGGGUUUGGGAUAAACUGGAAUGGGAACUGGGAAUGGGAACUGGGAAUGGGAUUGGGAAUGGGGCCGGGAUAAACUGGAAUGGGGUUGGGAUAAACUGGAAUGGGGUUGGGAUAACGGGAACGGGCCCUGAAAUGGGGACGGAGGCCCCGGCGUUCCAAAGGGAAACUGAGGCAGGGAUCCCACAAACCCCAGUGAGGAACCUUGGGAUCACCCAGGGGGGAACCACGGGAUCCAAACGUUCCCAACAUUCCCAAAAAUCCCCCGAAUCCACAGGGAUUGAAAAACCCAAAUAGCAACAAAAAAACCCCAAAAAUGCCACAAAAAAAAAAAAAUCCCAAAUCCUGCAAAAAAUCCCAAAUCCCCCCCAAAAUCCCAAAUCCCACCAAAAAAUAAUGGUAAAUCUGGCAAAAAAAUCCCAAAUCCAUAAAAAAACCCCCAAUUCCACCAAAAAGUCC